UCCGUAGGGUGCGAGCGUUGUCCGGAAUUAUUGGGCGUAAAGAGCUCGUAGGCGGUUUGUCACGUCUGCUGUGAAAUCCCGAGGCUCAACCUCGGGCCUGCAGUGGGUACGGGCAGACUGGAGUGCGGUAGGGGAGAAUGGAAUUCCUGGUGUAGCGGUGGAAUGCGCAGAUAUCAGGAGGAACACCGAUGGCGAAGGCAGUUCUCUGGGCCGUAACUGACGCUGAGGAGCGAAAGCGUGGGGAGCGAACAGG
rnacentral:rRNA from 1 species